rnacentral:misc_RNA from 1 species
GAUGAAGAACGUAGCGAAAUGCGAUAAGUAAUGUGAAUUGCAGAAUUCAGUGAAUCAUCGAAUCUUUGAACGCGCCUUGCAGCCUUUGGUAUUCCGAAGGGUAUGCUCGUUUGAGUGUCAUUGUACUCUCACACUUCUAAUUCCUUUCGGGAUUGGGAGCGGUGGACUUGGGUGUUGCUGCUUUAGUUGUGGCUCACCUCAAAUAAGUUAGUGCAACUCUUGGUUGGACAUAGUACGGCGUGAUAAGUGUCUUCGCCGGCGCCUCUGUAAGGAGGGUGGCCUAUCGGGAGCUCUGUGCUUCAAACCGUCUUCGGACAAUCUUUGACAACUUGACCUCAAAUCGAGUAGGACUACCCGCUGAACUUAAGCAUAUCAAUAAGCGGAGGA